UGGGGAAUAUUGGACAAUGGGCGAAAGCCUGAUCCAGCCAUGCCGCGUGUGUGAAGAAGGUCUUCGGAUUGUAAAGCACUUUAAGUUGGGAGGAAGGGCAGUAAGCGAAUACCUUGCUGUUUUGACGUUACCGACAGAAUAAGCACCGGCUAACUCUGUGCCAGCAGCCGCGGUAAUACAGAGGGUGCAAGCGUUAAUCGGAAUUACUGGGCGUAAAGCGCGCGUAGGUGGUUCGUUAAGUUGAAUGUGAAAGCCCCGGGAUCAACCUGGGAACUGCAUCCAAAACUGGCGAGCUAGAGUAGGGCAGAGGGUGGUGGAAGUUCCUGUGUAGCGGUGAAAUGCGUAGAUAUAGGAAGGAACACCAGUGGCGAAGGCGACCACCUGGGCUCAUACUGACACUGAGGUGCGAAAGCGUGGGGAGCAAACAGG
rnacentral:rRNA from 1 species